UGACCUCGGAUCAGUA
rnacentral:rRNA from 1 species